rnacentral:lncRNA from 7 species
GUUCAGGCUGGAGGCAGGAUCCUGGCGGUGUGAGUGGGGUGCCCCUGUGGAGCAAGGGUGGAAGGUGCGUGGCAGGUCCUGUCCCGGAGGAGUGGAGUUAAGGGUCCUGGUGUGGCUGUUUUCCUGCAUGGAAGAUGGAGAUCCUGGGAGCUGCGAUGAGGAGGAGCAGAGCCAGCAGUGGCUCCUGUGUGGCGAUGGCUGCUUUGUGUGGUGCUCCUGGGCUGAAAGGAGGAGGAGAAAAAAGUUUUUAGUGUGGUUCUUCAAAGCUCAGGUAAGCUCCCUUGGAACCAACUCCUUUUCUUGUGACUUAAGAGGUUGCUUGUGCUCUGUAGUCGUGGACUGCACCCUGGGGGGGUUGAGGGAAGUGGCUGGAGGUCAUGUUUACUCCCUCACACCACAGGCAAACCAUCUCUAGCUAUGCAGGAUGGAUACUGUAGCAGCCUAAGUAGACUGAGACCCUCAGGAAGGAGGGCAGCUGCUGCUCUGCUCUCUGACUUUAGCAUGCUGCUCUUGGAGGGGAAAAACUCAGACAAAUGGGAAAAUUAAAGGAGGGAAAUGCUGAUGACCUCUCCCUCUUGUGAGAGGUCUCUAACAAGGCCAGCUUGGUGUUGUGUUCAUAAAAAUGAAGAUGUGUCCUUGUGGGGAUAGGGCAUAAUACUAAAGAGCAUGCCUCUCAAAAUGCACGGGGUUGAAUUAGUGGAUGGGAGACUAGAAAUUUAGAAAUGGGUGACUUUGUAAUAGUGGGAAAACCAGGUCUCCUGUUUGAGAGAGGUCUUCCUCUUGCUUUACAGUUUCCCUUCCCCAAGAAGCUAUGGGGAGCUUCUAGGUCUAAUGCUGUUCCUCUGCUUUUGAGGUAUGCCCCUGAAAUACUGGUACUGGAGUCAGCCUCUGCGGGGUCUAAGUGGGUGCUGAGGGGUCCUUUCUCUGGAAGAACUACUGGCUGGUGACGGCUUCUUGUAAAGAUGGUUUCUACUGUGGGUGGAAAGGCUCUGUUCUACAUGUGGGAACGGGGAUGCCUAAGAAUAUCUGUGCUAAAAUGGAAUGGGUAGGAAGCUAAAGCUCUUGUAGUUGAAGGGGAUACCUGUCUGCCUCCAGCUUAAAACAAAAGUGCAAUAAAUCCUUACUUACCACAAAAAAAAAGAGGGGGCACCUGCUAUUUCUGUGCUUGGGGCUUCUUCCUUCCCUGGCUGAUGCCAUUGGUUCAGCAAUCUUGAGGGAUGAGAAAGGGGAGGAAAACGAUGCCUUUGGUCAGCUGUUUAGCAUUGCAUGUUCUGUAAAAUAAAUAAAAAGUGAGCCUUAUGUCAAUAACAAAUGCUUACAAAUCAUCUACUUCAACAGUACAAUGCCUCAGACUCACUUCACUCACCAGAUGAAAUCUCUGAGGAUCUUUCCUGUGUCUGUAUUGUUGCAGCUGAAUUUCUGCACGGCAGCCUUUCUCGAUUGCAGUAGGGCUUCCCUGGCUUGAAGAUGGGUGUGCUGUCCUGAGGGAGGAGCAGUGUUGGCUGUCUUACAGUGACCUUCUGCUUUCCUUUAAGAAGAGUCCACUAAGAACUGUAUCGGGUUUUUCAGUAGGUAACUCAGCAAAAAUGCCAAAUAUGUUGUCCUGUUUCCCUUUAUAACAAAAGAUGUGGUACUUUGCUGGGGUUGCGCCUUUGUGUUCAAUGUUUGUAUGCAGUAUAUUGUAUCCUCCUGUGGGAGUCUGCCAUUAUUAACUGCACUGUUAAUAACUUAUUAUUAAUAUAUUAUAUUAAUAUAAACUGUAAACUAAUAAUAAACUGUUAUUAUUAAUAAAUUUACAGUUUAUAAUCCAGUUGUGCUGUGAGAGAAGUGCAGCAGCUGGAUAAUGCAGGAUAGAAAAUGGAGUUGACAGAGAUGCAAAACUGCUCUCCUACUGCCUUGACUUGAACUGUGUCUCAGUGUGCUAUUACACUGCCUCACUAGUGCAAGCAAAUGUGUACCAUGAGGAAGGGCUGUUUUCUGAUGUGGGAUUUAGUUCUUGGGCCUGCUUUCCUGACAAGGGUUUUCUUUACCUACUCCCAUGGAUGAUAAAUGCUUUGAACUAGACCAGAGGAUAAGACUUCCUGCUUUUUAAACCCAGGCUUUCUCUUGAGCAGGAGGCUGUCACUGGAACACACAGGAACAGUCAGAGCAAUUACUGCAUUGG